UCGGGGUCAGGCCCCCGGGCGCACCGUUGCUGGUAUAUGCGGUGGUCGGGGUCAGGCCCCCGGGCGCACCGUUGCUGGUAUAUGCGGGGGUCGGGGUCAGGCCCCCGGGCGCACCGUUGCUGGUAUAUGCGGUGGUCGGGGUCAGGCCCCCGGGCGCAUCUUUGCUGGUAUAUGCGGUGGUCGGGGUCAGGCCCCCCGGGCGCACUGUUGCUGGUAUAUGCGGUGGUCGGGGUCAGGCCCCCGGGCGCACCUUUGCUGGUAUAUGCGGGGGUCGGGGUCAGGCCCCCGGGCGCACCGUUGCUGGUAUAUGCGGGGGUCGGGGUCAGGCCCCCGGGCGUUGCUGGUAUAUGCGGUGGUCGGGGUCAGGCCCCCGGGCGCACCGUUGCUGGUAUAUGCGGGGGUCGGGGUCAGGCCCCCGGGCGCACCGUUGCUGGUAUAUGCGGUGGUCGGGGUCAGGCCCCCGGGCGCACCGUUGCUGGUAUAUGCGGGGGUCGGGGUCAGGCCCCCGGGCGUUGCUGGUAUAUGCGGGGGUCGGGGUCAGGCCCCCGGGCGCACCGUUGCUGGUAUAUGCGGGGGUUGGGGUCAGGCCCCCCGGGCGCACCGUUGCUGGUAUAUGCGGGGGUCGUUUGUGGUGUCAUCACUGCUAUCUUCCAGGCCGGGAGGAAGGACCGAGGGUGGGCCCGGCGCGGGUGGGGGUCCUGGGCAGGGGCGGCGGCGCGGCCGGGCUGGUCCUGGCGCUGGGACCCGCAGCUGCGCCCUCUGCCUGAGCAGAGACCGGGGCCCCCACGCUCCGCGCCAGCACCCGGCCGCGCCGCGGAGAGGGAAGGGUUACGGCGGGGAUGGGGGUGGGGGGGUUGGCGGGGGCGCGACUGACGGGCUCGGGAUUGGCUCGGCGCGCGCGGGACCCGGGGGC
rnacentral:lncRNA from 1 species